rnacentral:rRNA from 1 species
AUUGAACGCUGGCGGCAUGCCUUACACAUGCAAGUCGAACGCGAAAGGGGCUUCGGUCCUGAGUAGAGUGGCGUCCGGGUGAGUAACGCGUGGGUAAUCUACCUUUGGGUGGGGAAUAACUAGUCGAAAGGCUAGCUAAUACCGCAUAAUGCAAUUUUCUACUAGAAUUUUGUAAAGCAGUAAUGUGCCUAAAGAUGAGCCUGCGUCUGAUUAGUUUGUUGGUAGGGUAAUGGCCUACCAAGACUACUAUCAGUAGCUGGUCUGAGAGGACGGCCAGCCACAAUGGCACUGAAACACGGGCCAUACUCCUACGGGAGGCAGCAGUGGGGAAUUUUGCGCAAUGAGCGAAAGCUUGACGCAGCAACGCCGCGUGAAGGAUGAAAUCCUUCGGGAUGUAAACUUCGCAAGUAUGGGAAGAAAAAAUAGACGGUACCAUAUGUAAGCCCCGGCUAACUCCGUGCCAGCAGCCG